AUGAACGCUAGCUACAGGCUUAACACAUGCAAGUCGAGGGGCAGCAUGGUCUUAGCUUGCUAAGGCCGAUGGCGACCGGCGCACGGGUGAGUAACACGUAUCCAACCUGCCGUCUACUCUUGAACAGCCUUCUGAAAGGAAGAUUAAUACAAGAUGGCAUCAUGAGUCCGCAUGUUCACAUGAUUAAAGGUAUUCCGGUAGACGAUGGGGAUGCGUUCCAUUAGAUAGUAGGCGGGGUAACGGCCCACCUAGUCUUCGAUGGAUAGGGGUUCUGAGAGGAAGGUCCCCCACAUUGGAACUGAGACACGGUCCAAACUCCUACGGGAGGCAGCAGUGAGGAAUAUUGGUCAAUGGGCGAGAGCCUGAACCAGCCAAGUAGCGUGAAGGAUGACUGCCCUAUGGGUUGUAAACUUCUUUUAUAAAGGAAUAAAGUCGGGUAUGCAUACCCGUUUGCAUGUACUUUAUGAAUAAGGAUCGGCUAACUCCGUGCCAGCAGCCGCGGUAAUACGGAGGAUCCGAGCGUUAUCCGGAUUUAUUGGGUUUAAAGGGAGCGUAGAUGGAUGUUUAAGUCAGUUGUGAAAGUUUGCGGCUCAACCGUAAAAUUGCAGUUGAUACUGGAUAUCUUGAGUGCAGUUGAGGCAGGCGGAAUUCGUGGUGUAGCGGUGAAAUGCUUAGAUAUCACGAAGAACUCCGAUUGCGAAGGCAGCCUGCUAAGCUGCAACUGACAUUGAGGCUCGAAAGUGUGGGUAUCAAACAGGAUUAGAUACCCUGGUAGUCCACACGGUAAACGAUGAAUACUCGCUGUUUGCGAUAUACAGCAAGCGGCCAAGCGAAAGCGUUAAGUAUUCCACCUGGGGAGUACGCCCGCAAGGGUGAAACUCAAAGGAAUUGACGGGGGCCCGCACAAGCAGUGGAGUAUGUGGUUUAAUUCGACGCAACGCGAAGAACCUUACCAAGUCUUGACAUCCCUUGACAGGCAUAGAAAUAUGUUUUCUCCUCGGAGCAAGGAGACAGGUGGUGCAUGGUUGUCGUCAGCUCGUGUCGUGAGAUGUUGGGUUAAGUCCCGCAACGAGCGCAACCCUUGUUGUCAGUUACUAACAGGUUCCGCUGAGGACUCUGACAAGACUGCCAUCGUAAGAUGUGAGGAAGGUGGGGAUGACGUCAAAUCAGCACGGCCCUUACGUCCGGGGCUACACACGUGUUACAAUGGGGGGUACAGAGGGCCGCUACCACGCGAGUGGAUGCCAAUCCCCAAAACCUCUCUCAGUUCGGACUGGAGUCUGCAACCCGACUCCACGAAGCUGGAUUCGCUAGUAAUCGCGCAUCAGCCACGGCGCGGUGAAUACGUUCCCGGGCCUUGUACACACCGCCCGUCAAGCCAUGGGAGCCGGGGGUACCUGAAGUGCGUAACCGCGAGGAGCGCCCUAGGGUAAAACUGGUGACUGGGGCU
rnacentral:rRNA from 1 species